rnacentral:rRNA from 1 species
UACAGAGGUCUCAAGCGUUGUUCGGAUUCAUUGGGCGUAAAGGGUGCGUAGGUGGCGCCAUAAGUCGGGUGUGAAAUCUCGGGGCUUAACUCCGAAACUGCAUUCGAUACUGCGGUGCUUGAGGACUGGAGAGGAGACUGGAAUUCAUGGUGUAGCAGUGAAAUGCGUAGAGAUCAUGAGGAAGACCAGUGGCGAAGGCGGGUCUCUGGACAGUUCCUGACACUGAGGCACGAAGGCCAGGGGAGCAAACGGG